GCCACUGAACAAUGAGGUGUUGUUGGUUCACGUAAAGCUUGUUUACAUUCCAGAAUUUUUCCCAUUUGGUGAUGUCAAGACGGAAGGAGGCUUUGAAAAAAAAGGCCCUUCCAAACAUCGACAUGAGAAUCAAAGGAAAGGCUUUAAACAUUGAUGAGGACAUCAAGGAAAACCAUGUCAAGCAUGCUCUCACCAAAGGCUGUGUGAGGGAGAAAAAUUCAGCGGUUGUAAAGGAUGUGGAAGCAUCCAGAAAUGAAUUGGUUUCUAAACAGCUGUUGCAAAAGUCUGGCAUCUCGAAGGUGAACUUGGAUUCAAGUGACAUGACCUGCAGUAAAGGGAGACAGGUAUUCCUUUUAUUAUUUGCUCUGAAAGUGAAGAAAAUUGUUUUCUCUUUGCACUCUUGGAGAUAUCUUCAUGUAUUAUAGGAUGAACUUCUUCUGCCUUGUGAGGCCCCUUAUUGGGAUUUGCACAUUACACUUGUGGAGAGAAUAAUUAUUUUGGAUAGUUUAUUGGAAAAUGAAUUUGUCAGACUAAACUGUUUGUUCUUAACUUGUAUUCUGU
rnacentral:lncRNA from 1 species